UACGAAGGGGGCGAGCGUUUGUUCGGAAUUACUGGGCGUAAAGGGCGCGCAGGCGGUCCUUCAAGUCAGAUGUGAAAGCCCCGGGCUCAACCUGGGAACUGCAUUUGAGACUGGAGGACUUGAGGACGGGAGAGGAGAGUGGAAUUCCGAGUGUAGAGGUGAAAUUCGUAGAUAUUCGGAAGAACACCAGUGGCGAAGGCGACUUACUGGACACAUAUUGACGCUGAGGUGACGAAAGGCGUGGGGAGCAAACAGG
rnacentral:rRNA from 1 species